rnacentral:rRNA from 1 species
UGACGAAGGGGCUAGCGUUUGUUCGGAGUUUACUGGGCGUAAAGCGCACGUAGGCGGUUUGUUAAGUCAGGGGUGAAAUCCCAGAGCUCAACUCUGGAACUGCCUUUGAUACUGGCAAGCUCGAGUCCGGAAGAGGUAAGUGGAACUCCUAGUGUAGAGGUGGAAUUCGUAGAUAUUAGGAAGAACACCAGUGGCGAAGGCGGCUUACUGGUCCGGAACUGACGCUGAGGUGCGAAAGCGUGGGGAGCAAACAGG